rnacentral:rRNA from 1 species
UACGGGGGGGGGCGAGCGUUGUUCGGAAUUACUGGGCGUAAAGGGCGCGUAGGCGGUCUGCUAAGUUGGAUGUGAAAACUCUGGGCUUAACCCAGAGCCUGCAUUCAAUACUGACAGGCUAGAGUUCUGGAGGGGAUAGCGGAAUUCCUGGUGUAGCGGUGAAAUGCGUAGAUAUCAGGAGGAACACCGGUGGCGAAGGCGGCUAUCUGGACAGAGUCUGACGCUGAGGCGCGAAAGCUAGGGGAGCAAACAGG